rnacentral:rRNA from 1 species
AUUAAACGCUGGCGGCAGGCCUAACACAUGCAAGUCGAACGGUAGCACAGAGAGCUUGCUCUCGGGUGACGAGUGGCGGACGGGUGAGUAACGUCUGGGAAACUGCCCGAUGGAGGGGGAUAACUACUGGAAACGGUAGCUAAUACCGCAUAACGUCGCAAGACCAAAGUGGGGGACCUUCGGGCCUCACACCAUCGGAUGUGCCCAGAUGGGAUUAGCUAGUAGGUGGGGUAAUGGCUCACCUAGGCGACGAUCCCUAGCUGGUCUGAGAGGAUGACCAGCCACACUGGAACUGAGACACGGUCCAGACUCCUACGGGAGGCAGCAGUGGGGAAUAUUGCACAAUGGGCGCAAGCCUGAUGCAGCCAUGCCGCGUGUAUGAAGAAGGCCUUCGGGUUGUAAAGUACUUUCAGCGGGGAGGAAGGCGGUGAAGUUAAUAGCUUCACCGAUUGACGUUACCCGCAGAAGAAGCACCGGCUAACUCCGUGCCAGCCGCCGCAGUAACAC